GACGAACGCUGGCGGCGUGCUUAACACAUGCAAGUCGAACGGAAAGGCCCUGCUUUUGUGGGGUGCUCGAGUGGCGAACGGGUGAGUAACACGUGAGUAACCUGCCCUUGACUUUGGGAUAACUUCAGGAAACUGGGGCUAAUACCGGAUAGGAGCUCCUGCUGCAUGGUGGGGGUUGGAAAGUUUCGGCGGUUGGGGAUGGACUCGCGGCUUAUCAGCUUGUUGGUGGGGUAGUGGCUUACCAAGGCUUUGACGGGUAGCCGGCCUGAGAGGGUGACCGGCCACAUUGGGACUGAGAUACGGCCCAGACUCCUAGGGGAGGCAGCAGGGGGGAAUAUUGCACAAUGGGCGGAAGCCUGAUGCAGAAACGCCGCGUGCGGGAUGACGGCCUUCGGGUUGUAAACCGCUUUCGCCUGUGACGAAGCGUGAGUGACGGUAAUGGGUAAAGAAGCACCGGCUAACUACG
rnacentral:rRNA from 1 species